rnacentral:rRNA from 1 species
AUACGGAGGGGGCGAGCGUUAAUGGGAAUUACUGGGCGUAAAGCGCGCGUAGGCGGUUUGUUAAGUCGGAUGUGAAAUCCCCGGGCUCAACCUGGGACCUGCAUCCGAUACUGGCAGGCUAGAGUCUGGUAGAGGGGGGUAGAAUUCCUGGUGUAGCGGUGAAAUGCGUAGAUAUCAGGAGGAAUACCAGUGGCGAAGGCGGCCCCCUGGACUGAGACUGACGCUGAGGUGCGAAAGCGUGGGGAGCAAACAGGAUUAGAAACCCUAGUAGUCC